GCCUGGCCUCGGCGGGGCUCCUUUUUUAUCAAAAGACCGAGCCUACUCAUAACCGAAAUGGUGGACCCUCAAACCACCCAUCUAACCAGGAUCACAUUAAUAGUGCAGACUAUACUCAUUGACAUUUGGGCCCUGGCCCUUAUGGGCUGGGCCACACACGUGCUACAAUGGCAAUGACAAUGGGAAGCAAGGCUGUAAGGCGGAGCGAAUCCGAAAAGAUUGCCUCAGUUCGGAUUGUUCUCUGCAACUCGGGAACAUGAAGUUGAAAUCGCUAGUAAUCACGGAUCAGCAUGCCGCGGUGAAUACGUACCCGGGC
rnacentral:ncRNA from 1 species